AACGAACGCUGGCGGCAUGCCUAACACAUGCAAGUCGAACGAGACCUUCGGGUCUAGUGGCGCACGGGUGCGUAACGCGUGGGAACCUGCCCUUAGGUUCGGAAUAACUCCCCGAAAGGGGUGCUAAUACCGGAUAAUGUCUUCGGACCAAAGAUUUAUCGCCUUUGGAUGGGCCCGCGUUGGAUUAGCUAGUUGGUAGGGUAAAAGCCUACCAAGGCGACGAUCCAUAGCUGGUCUGAGAGGAUGAUCAGCCACACUGGGACUGAGACACGGCCCGGACUCUUCCGGGAGGGGGGAGUGGGGGAUAGUGGAAAGGGGGGGAAGGCAUGAACCACCAAGGCGCGGUAAGGUAUGAAGGCUGGGGGGUUGAAAAGUUUUUGUACCAGGGAAGAUAUUGACGGUACCGGAAGAAAAAGCCCCGGCUAACUCCGUG
rnacentral:rRNA from 1 species